rnacentral:tRNA from 1 species
GCCGACGUAGCUCAAUUGGUAGAGCGGCUGAAUCGUAAUCAGUUGGUUGGGGGUUCAAGUCCUCUCGUCGGCUCCC